AGUGAACGCUGGCGGUAGGCCUAACACAUGCAAGUCGAACGGCAGCACAGUAAGAGCUUGCUCUUACGGGUGGCGAGUGGCGGACGGGUGAGGAAUACAUCGGAAUCUACUUUUUCGUGGGGGAUAACGUAGGGAAACUUACGCUAAUACCGCAUACGACCUACGGGGGAAAGCAGGGGAUCUUCGGACCUUGCGCGAUUGAAUGAGCCGAUGUCGGAUUAGCUAGUUGGCGGGGUAAAGGCCCACCAAGGCGACGAUCCGUAGCUGGUCUGAGAGGAUGAUCAGCCACACUGGAACUGAGACACGGUCCAGACUCCUACGGGAGGCAGCAGUGGGGAAUAUUGGACAAUGGGCGCAAGCCUGAUGCAGCCAUACCGCGUGGGUGAAGAAGGCCUUCGGGUUGUAAAGCCCUUUUGUUGGGAAAGAAAAGCAGCAGGUUAAUACCCCGCUGUUCUGACGGUACCCAAAGAAUAAGCACCGGCUAACUUCGUG
rnacentral:rRNA from 1 species